UUUAUUGGAGAGUUUGAUCCUGGCUCAGGAUGAACGCUGGCGGCGUGCCUAAUACAUGCAAGUCGAGCGAAUGGAUUAAGAGCUUGCUCUUAU
rnacentral:rRNA from 2 species